AAGGAAAAUAAACAUAACAAAGUAAGUCUUUCAGCUUGAGGCUGAAGCUGCUAAAAAAAAGUGCCUGUGUGGUCACUGUGAGCUGCCUCAAAUUUUCAGCAGCUAAUUCUUGACUGCCACUCUUACCAAAAAGAACUGUCAUGGCGAUAGGUAAGUGUGUAACAGCUAUAACCCAAGAUGAUCAUCGCGGUAGCACGUGAGUACUUCCUGUUUAGUCCUCCGUUCUCGGAGUGUCUGACUGGCUUGCAAGCUAACAGCUAGGUGGUAAAGCACCUCCUGUGUUCUCCAUCUCUUGGCUCCAGGGUACUACUGUACUCCCGAUGCUGUCUUCCGUCAUGCUGGAUCAAAAGGAGUUUGCCAACCCAGAGAAGUUUGAUCCAGGACACUUUCUGGAUAAAAAUGGCUGCUUCAAGAAGACAGACUACUUUGUUCCCUUCUCCCUUGGAAAGCGGGCCUGUGUUGGUGAGAGUUUGGCCCGGAUGGAGCUCUUCCUGUUCUUCACCACCCUUCUGCAAAAGUUUUCCCUGAAGACUCUGGUGGAGCCCAAGGACCUUGACAUCAAGCCUAUUACUACCGGGAUUAUCAAUUUGCCGCCACCUUACAAGCUGUGCCUUGUUCCUAGAUAAGGGUUUAUCCUUCUAAUCAUUCAAAUCAAAGUCUUAAAAGCUUCCAGGACACAGGCAGUGUGUCUGUGUCCCUCAACUGCUCUAGAAACCAGGCCCCAAGCACAACUGACACCAGAUAUGCAAGACCCUCAUCAGACGCCACCUACAAGUAGCACUGUGUGCUCUUCUGUAGCUUUGGAAAUAGAAUUGUUUUCUGUCAUUGUUUCAAUAGAGAAAUUAAUGUAAUGGCCUACGUUCAUUUUCCUGUUCACACUUAAAAACAUUUACAUGAUUUGUGCCACAUUCACAAAAUA
rnacentral:lncRNA from 1 species